rnacentral:lncRNA from 1 species
CACACACACGCAGCCGCUCGCCGUGCCCGCAGUCCCGCGGCACGCCCCGGGCGCGGUCCCGACCGCUUCCGCUGCUCUUGAGGAGAAGCCUGAGGAGGGGUAACGGGGGGGCUCUGCCGCCUCCCUCCCGCCCGCCCGCUGCCCCCAGCCGCGGUAGCGCCGGCACAGGCUUGGAUUUGGGGAGCUGUUGCUGCCGCUGUAUUCAGAUCUGUCACAUUGAUGUCAUAUACAUAACAGCUUGGCAGCAGUUCUGCAUCCUGCGGUGGGUGUACAUGGCACUGGAACUACAUCUGGCGGGAGCAGUGGAAGCUGCUUUUAGAGCAGAACCUUUUUUAGAGGUUCACAACCUUGUGGUUGUCUGUAAUUAUAAGGUGUUGUGCUAAUACAAAUAUUUCAGUGAAGUCCGUAUUUCUGGUUCAGCUGUAUGCACUAAGCAAAUUUUAUAGUAGUUAUUUUCAGUAUUAGGUACCACAGCAGAGAAUGACCAGGUUUUCUACGCGUUUAACUUGUCUGUGGUGAAUCGUCUUUCUCUGGAAUGACCUGAUCUUGUUCCUUGAUUGUGCCAGCUUCUAACUUUUCUGAGUUACACCUGAUUAGCUGCUUAAUAAAGUGUACAGAAAUGCUGUAUAAAAUGAAUGU